GCCAGAACAAUGUCCUCACUCAAAAUAAAGUUCAAGCCGCUCAAAACGCCAGCUGGCUGGAGAAUUGAUUUCAUUGCUGUUAUCUUGUUUUCGGGGGGCUCAUCGCCAGGAGGACCCCAUCGACGUUAUAUGCCAGAACAAUGUCCUCACUCAAAAUAAAGUUCAAGCCGCUCAAAACGCCAGCUGGCUGGAGAAUUGAUUUCAUUGCUGUUAUCUUGUUUUCGGGGGGCUCAUCGCCAGGAGGACCCCAUCGACGUUAUAUGCCAGAACAAUGUCCUCACUCAAAAUAAAGUUCAAGCCGCUCAAAACGCCAGCUGGCUGGAGAAUUGAUUUCAUUGCUGUUAUCUUGUUUUCGGGGGGCUCAUCGCCAGGAGGACCCCAUCGACGUUAUAUGCCAGAACAAUGUCCUCACUCAAAAUAAAGAUCAAGCCGCUCAAAACGCCAGCUGGCUGGAGAAUUGAUUUCAUUGCUGUUAUCUUGUUUUCGGGGGGCUCAUCGCCAGGAGGACCCCAUCGACGUUAUAUGCCAGAACAAGGUCCUCACUCAAAAUAAAGUUCAAGCCGCUCAAAACGCCAGCUGGCUGGAGAACUGAUUUCAUUGCUGUUAUCUAGGGUCGUUGUGUUUUUUGUUCGCUGUUUACGGGUGCCAAUUCAAGCGCGACAAAAGACAAGAAGCUGGAGCCAGAGCCAAAGCCAACCCCAACUGUUCGGAGCAGCACCCAGCCGAUUAGCUGCUUGCCAAAUAGCACCUAAUU